rnacentral:rRNA from 1 species
GAUGAACGCUGGCGGCGUGCCUAAUACAUGCAAGUCGAGCGAACAGAUGAGGAGCUUGCUCCUCUGACGUUAGCGGCGGACGGGUGAGUAACACGUGGAUAACCUACCUAUAAGACUGGGAUAACUUCGGGAAACCGGAGCUAAUACCGGAUAAUAUAUUGAACCGCAUGGUUCAAUAGUGAAAGACGGUUUUGCUUUCACUUAUAGAUGGAUCCUCGCCGCAUUAGCUAGUUGGUAAGGUAACGGCUUACCAAGGCAACGAUGCGUAGCCGACCUGAGAGGGUGAUCGGCCACACUGGAACUGAGACACGGUCCAGACUCCUACGGGAGGCAGCAGUAGGGAAUCUUCCGCAAUGGGCGAAAGCCUGACGGAGCAACGCCGCGUGAGUGAUGAAGGUCUUCGGAUCGUAAAACUCUGUUAUUAGGGAAGAACAAAUGUGUAAGUAACUAUGCACGUCUUGACGGUACCUAAUCAGAAAGCCACGGCUAACUACGUG